rnacentral:misc_RNA from 1 species
CUCUUGCCUAUACACGAAAUUGGUGGUGGGAAUGCUCUGCCGCUCAGCCUUGUCCUCCGGAUUUCUCCACUUAGAUUCUCCAUUGUUGAAUGCCUUGUGAUGCUUACUUUCUCCUCUUGGUAUUGCCAAUCUUCAUUUAUAUCAUUCUUCAAGUCCUCAACAUCAUCAAAGCUUUCAAAACCAAGCCCCUCGGUGCAUAGUUGCAAGCUCUCAUAGUUCCU